CGCUGAUUUAUACUCUCAGUGGUGGUGCACAAGGGUUCUAGGUUCUGAAAUGUGAAGUAGGCAGUCUCAACCUACAGCAAAAUGGGGCGUGUGGGGAGCUGGCCCCUGGAUGGAAACAGCUGGACUUCUCCAUCUCAAGAGUAGAGGAGGCUGGGGUGACGCCAGCAGCACUGGGCCUGAAACUCGCCUUCUCUGUGAAUUGUCCUCACGUUCCUUUGGACUGAUGUAGAAAUUGCUCUGCGCCUGUGAUCAGCCCCUGGUGACAGAGUCGCACCGCUGGAGAGCAGGGGGAAGGCUGCGGCAGACCCUGUGGUGGCCUCCCCAGCAGCGAGUCCCUUCUCCCUGCCCUGCAGUGGACCAGGUGGGGCUGUCCGUCAGUCCCUG
rnacentral:lncRNA from 1 species